AUGCCAAUUCAGCCGCCUCAAACAGAUUAUUUUCAAAGAACCUACCUCUUAUUCUCAAAAAAAAAAAGAAAAAAUAAAAGCGAGCUCAGAGAACACAGGAAAAGUUCUGAUACUGAAGGGCCUGGCACCAUAGUUGAAGAUAAAAGAGUGACACAUCUGUGUGUUUGUGUUUGGCCAUCACUAACAAGUACGCGGGCCUCUCACUGUUGUGGCCUCUCCCGUGGCAGAGCACAGGCUCCAGACACACAGGCCCAACAGCCAUGGCUCAUGGACCCAGCCGCUCCACAGCAUGUGGGAUCUUCCCAGACCGGGGAACGAACCCGCGUCCCCUGCAUCGGCAGGCGGACUCUCAACCACUGCGCCACCAGGGAAGCCCCUACAGUUACUUUUGGAGAUAAAGCACAAGGCCAUCAAGAAGAGUCUACCACACAACACUCUUAUGUCAGCAGAGCAGUGUCCAGUAGAGCAAGAAGACGACAAUCUCAAGAGUUUCCUGCAGCACAGUGAGCUGUUCCCUAUAAUUUCUUACCAAAGAGAAGUGGAUUCCCCAUUCUGAGGACCUCAGGAAUAAG
ensembl:lncRNA